AGGGCUUGUAGUUUAAGAAGAAUGGCUGAUUUCGGCUCAGUAGGUGGGGGAAGCACCCCCAGGUCUUU
rnacentral:tRNA from 1 species